rnacentral:rRNA from 1 species
GACGAACGCUGGCGGCGUGCCUAAUACAUGCAAGUUGAGCGAUGAAGAUUGGUGCUUGCACCAAUUUGAAGAGCAGCGAACGGGUGAGUAACGCGUGGGGAAUCUGCCUUUGAGCGGGGGACAACAUUUGGAAACGAAUGCUAAUACCGCAUAACAACUUUAAACAUAAGUUUUAAGUUUGAAAGAUGCAAUUGCAUUACUCAAAGAUGAUCCCGCGUUGUAUUAGCUAGUUGGUGAGGUAAAGGCUCACCAAGGCGAUGAUACAUAGCCGACCUGAGAGGGUGAUCGGCCACAUUGGGACUGAGACACGGCCCAAACUCCUACGGGAGGCAGCAGUAGGGAAUCUUCGGCAAUGGACGAAAGUCUGACCGAGCAACGCCGCGUGAGUGAAGAAGGUUUUCGGAUCGUAAAACUCUGUUGGUAGAGAAGAACGUUGGUGAGAGUGGAAAGCUCAUCAAGUGACGGUAACUACCCAGAAAGGGACGGCUAACUACGUG